GGAAUAAAAGUCGUAACAAGGUUUCCGUAGGUGAACCUGCGGAAGGAUCAUUAUUGGAUUUUGAAACUUCAGGCUGCUGCUGGCUCUCCUCGGAGGGCAUGUGCACGCUUGUUGUCCAUUAUUUCUCCCACUGUGCACAAAUUGUAGACCUUUCAGUAGGCCUAUGUUGUUUUUCACAAUCUCUGAAUGUAAUAGAAUGGUUUAGAAUCUUGGGAAAUACAAUACAACUUUCAGCAACGGAUCUCUUGGCUCUC
rnacentral:misc_RNA from 1 species